rnacentral:rRNA from 1 species
UGUUUGAUGUUCUAACGUUGGCCCCUGAUCGGGGUUGCGGACAGUGUCUGGUGGGUAGUUUGACUGGGGCGGUCUCCUCCUAAAGAGUAACGGAGGAGCACGAAGGUUGGCUAAUCCUGGUCGGACAUCAGGAGGUUAGUGCAAUGGCAUAAGCCAGCUUGACUGCGAGCGUGACGGCGCGAGCAGGUGCGAAAGCAGGUCAUAGUGAUCCGGUGGUUCUGAAUGGAAGGGCCAUCGCUCAACGGAUAAAAGGUACUCCGGGGAUAACAGGCUGAUACCGCCCAAGAGUUCAUAUCGACGGCGGUGUUUGGCACCUCGAUGUCGGCUCAUCACAUCCUGGGGCUGAAGUAGGUCCCAAGGGUAUGGCUGUUCGCCAUUUAAAGUGGUACGCGAGCUGGGUUUAGAACGUCGUGAGACAGUUCGGUCCCUAUCUGCCGUGGGCGCUGGAGAACUGAGGGGGGCUGCUCCUAGUACGAGAGGACCGGAGUGGACGCAUCACUGGUGUUCGGGUUGUCAUGCCAAUGGCACUGCCCGGUAGCUAAAUGCGGAAGAGAUAAGUGCUGAAAGCAUCUAAGCACGAAACUUGCCCCGAGAUGAGUUCUCCCUGAGACUUAGAGUCUCCUGAAGGAACGUUGAAGACGACGACGUUGAUAGGCCGGGUGUGUAAGCGCAGCGAUGCGUUGAGCUAACCGGUACUAAUGAACCGUGAGGCUUAACCUUACAACGCCGAAG